rnacentral:rRNA from 1 species
UACGUAGGGAGCAAGCGUUGUCCGGAAUCAUUGGGCGUAAAGAGCGCGUAGGUGGCUUUAUAAGUCCGUUGUGAAAGUCAAAGGCUCAACCUUUGAAAGCCGAUGGAUACUGUGAAGCUGAGAGUACGGAAGAGGCGAGUGGAAUUCCUGGUGUAGCGGUGGAAUGCGCAGAUAGUCAAGGAGGAACACCAAUAGCGAAGGCAGCUCGCUGGGACGUUACUGACACUGAGGCGACGAAAGCGUGGGGAGCGAACAGGG